rnacentral:SRP_RNA from 2 species
UGUUGGUUCUCCCACAACGCUACUCUGUUUACCAGGUCAGGUCCGGAAGGAAGCAGCCAAGGCAGAUGACGCGUGUGCCGGGAUGUAGCUGGCAGGG